UACGAAGGGGGCUAGCGUUGCUCGGAAUCACUGGGCGUAAAGCGCACGUAGGCGGACUCUUAAGUCGGGGGUGAAAUCCUGGAGCUCAACUCCAGAACUGCCUUCGAUACUGGGGAGUCUUGAGUUCGGGGAGAGGUGAGUGGAACUGCGAGUGUAGAGGUGAAAUUCGUAGAUAUUCGCAAGAACACCAGUGGCGAAGGCGGCUCACUGGCCCGAUACUGACGCUGAGGUGCGAAAGCGUGGGGAGCAACAGGG
rnacentral:rRNA from 1 species